GCUUUGGUGGUUCAGUGGUGGAAUUCCCGCCUGCCACGCUGGAGACCCGUGUCCGAUUCCCGGCCAAUGCA
rnacentral:tRNA from 1 species